GCCUGGGUGGCUUAGUCGGUUAAGUGUCUGACUUCGGCUCAGGUCAUGAUCUCAGGGUCCGUGGGUUUGGGGCCCCAUGUCAGGCU
rnacentral:tRNA from 1 species